rnacentral:rRNA from 1 species
UACAGAGGUCUCAAGCGUUGUUCGGAUUCAUUGGGCGUAAAGGGUGCGUAGGCGGCGCGGUAAGUCGGGUGUGAAAUCUCGGAGCUUAACUCCGAAACUGCAUUCGAUACUGCCGUGCUUGAGGACUGGAGAGGAGACUGGAAUUUACGGUGUAGCGGUGAAAUGCGUAGAUAUCGUAAGGAAGACCAGUGGCGAAGGCGGGCCUCUGGACAGUUCCUGACGCUGAGGCACGAAGGCCAGGGGAGCAAACGGG